rnacentral:rRNA from 1 species
UACGUAGGGCGCAAGCGUUGUCCGGAAUUAUUGGGCGUAAAGAGCUCGUAGGCGGUCUGUUGCGUCCGCUGUGAAAACUCGGGGCUUAACCCCGAGCCUGCAGUGGAUACGGGCAGACUAGAGGUAGGUAGGGGAGAAUGGAAUUCCUGGUGUAGCGGUGAAAUGCGCAGAUAUCAGGAGGAACACCGAUGGCGAAGGCAGGUCUCUGGGCAUUAACUGACGCUGAGGAGCGAAAGCAUGGGGAGCGAACAGG